UUUUAAUAACAUUUUUUUAAAUAAAAACUGUGUCUUUUGGUUUUUUGUUUUUUUUUUAAUUUUUCAAAUAUUUUUUUAAUAUUUUCGUUUUAUUUUAGUUUUGAUCGCCAAUUUCAUAAUUAUUUUUUACAUUUUUCUUUAUUAAUUUUUUAAAUACUCAUUUCACUUCUAUAAAAACUUUCUUAAUAAUAACACCGAUUUUCACUAAACUUAAUAUAGCUUUGAAUUAUGUAUAUAUGACAGAUAUCUUUUAUAGAAUUGUCAAAUAGACCUAUUUUAAGGCUUCAUUAUGUUUUGUGAUAAGGCUGUAAUAUAUAAAACUCAAAACACGUUAAGGCAUUGAGUUGCUAUGCGUUAAUGGGUUAAUCAUCUAAGAGCGGAAACAUAAAAUUAUUUAUUGAGUGAAUUACAGCAACUAUGGUAUGCUGUUAUUACAGCAACAAAGGUAUGCUGUUAAUAGCAAACUCUUAUAUUGGCUAUUAGCUACAACAUUUUCCAGUAUUCCUUAUUUUUGUGCAAUAUUCAUCACUUUAAGUAGGGGGAAAUCCUCGCCUACCCACAACAUCUCUUCUAUUUUUUUAAUAUUCUCAGUUUCAUCAUGUCAAAGACCGAAGUUUUAUUCCUUUAUUUUUGUUUGGAUUAUAGCACUUCAAGAUGUAUGCCACCAAUUUCUUACACUUGUCCUUUACUAAGGAUUACCAAGUAAUUUGUAUUAAGUAGAUUAUAAAAGAAAAAAAUUAAUUAUACACAAUCAUAAUGAAAAACUUAUAGGUAUAAAAUAAAAACACAGCAACAAAAAUACAAAGCUAAGCAUGUAAAAGAAAAGUCUGUGAAGAGACGAAAGAGUAUUUUUGUAUUUGAAAUGAAUUUAGUAAGAAAACCAACUAAACAAAAUCUUAAAAUCUUAAAACCCUACCAGCAGCAAAGCAAAACUCACACACACAGUCAGUUUUUGUGUAAAAAUUUUGACAUUUUCAUUUGAGUUUAUAAAAUUUUAUAAAAUAAAAACCCUGAAAAAAAGCAACAGAAAAUCCCCAGAAGAACCUAAAUCAAGAAAUCGAUACUCUUAUGAAUUUAUGAUUUUGUAAAUUGCGUCGUUUUAAAGCAGACGAAUAAAAGUAGAAAUGACAACUCAAAGCAAAAGUAAUGUAAAAAUUAAAAAAAAAAAAAAUGUUUAAAAACAUCAACUUUUUGCAAUUGCACAUAGCAACAGGAAACUGUAAAACUAAACAAACAAAAAUUGUAUUAUAUUGUAAAAAACAAAAAUAAGCAUAUAUUAGUUACCUUAAAACCCCCUACCCAAACUCCAAACUAGGCUAAGAAAAACCAGUUAACAACGCUGAGUAAUUUUUGGCGUUUUUUUUUUUGUUUUGAAACAAAUCCAAACCAGUAAAAGUCAUCGGAAUGUUUGCAGCAGAAGCAGAAGAGACGUUUUAAACAUAGUGUGGUAUUAUUAGCUUUUAAAUUCAAAUGUAAAAUUCAAUAUUAUGAUUAAGUCCUAGUUGUUUAAGUUUUUUUUUUUUAGAUUUUACUAUCUAAACAAAUCCCUUAAAAAUUGUAUUGUAUUUAAGAAGCAAAUUACGAUGAUGAUGAUGAGAAACUUCGAAAGUAUUGAAAGCCUGAAAAUGAAUAUUUUUUGAUUAUUUUGUAAAACAAAAAACGAUUUUUUUUAUUAAAUAAUUUGUAAAUACAUACAAUCCUUUAUAUACCCUCAUACAUGCAUAUGUGUAUAACUUUAUAUAUACACAUAUAUUAUUUACAUAUUUGUAAUAUAAUCUCUAUUUCUUCUAUAUGUUUAUUAUUAUUAUGAUUACGUAUUAUCAUUAUUUAAACUACUUUACCACUCUCUGUCACAGAAUUCUCAUUUACAUUUACCAUACAUAUAUAUAUAUAUAGACAUAUACUAUUACAUGCAUAUGAAACAAAAACACCCAUGUAAAAACGAAUCAUUUAUCUAUUGUGUUUUAUUUUUAAUAGAAAAUUUUGUUUUAUUCACAAACUGUAAACUUUUUAUGUUGUUUUAUUUUUGCCAAAACCCCAAUACCCAACUUCACAUUCAACUUUUCUGAAACUCUGCAACAGUUAAGAAAUUAUUUGUAGACAUUUAUUUGCCAUAUACAGCCCGUGUAUUCCCAUAUCCUAGGUCAUCGAUGGCAGCCGUCUCUGCUCUCUCUCUCUCUCUAUGUAUAGGGCACUCCCUACUAAAAGGUUUCUUCAUUACCAAACAUGUGAAUAUUCUAUUCACAUUAUAAUGCAACAACAACUACUACUACUACAACUACAACUAUUAUAUACAAAAACCAAGGACUACAUAAUCUAUGGCAGUUACAAAUAAGAGCAAAAAAACCGUAUACACUACAACUACAACAAAAGCAGACUCUAAUGUAAGCGUCAAGGAAGCACAAAUUUUUGUAAUUCUGUUGUCUUAAGGAAAACCCAAGCAAAGGGGACAAACAGCAACCACAUACCCAAGAAUGGCCUAAAUCCAAUAUAGUUUAAUGCCUAGGCUUGUGGUUCUUCUGACUCCUCUGACAAGUUUCACAACCAUAUAUACAUAUAUCCUACUACUACUUAUAAUGAUAAUAACACAAAACAUCAUAUCAACAGGAAGCCGUAACUCCACAAAAAACCGAAAAUUUCUCCAAAUUCACAUACACACACACAUAGAUAUUAAAUCCUUCAAUAAACUACAGUAGACAUUUCUAAAAACCCAAAUCAAC